AACAAACGCUGGCGGCGUGCCUAAUACAUGCAAGUCGAACGGGGAAAGCUUUCGGGUGAGUACUAGUGGCGCACGGGUGAGGAACGCGUGGAUAAUCUGCCUUAGAGUGGGGGAUAACUAGUCGAAAGAUUAGCUAAUACCGCAUAAGACCACGAGAGCUGCGACUUUUGAGGUCAAAGGUUUUUCGCUCUAAGAUGAGUCCGCGUAAGAUUAGCUAGUUGGUGAGGUAACGGCUCACCAAGGCGACGAUCUUUAACUGGUCUGAGAGGAUGAUCAGUCACACUGGAACUGAGACACGGUCCAGACUCCUACGGGAGGCAGCAGUAGGGAAUAUUGCACAAUGGAGGAAACUCUGAUGCAGCGACGCCGCGUGAGUGAUGAAGGCCUUCGGGGCGUAAAGCUCUGUCGCAGGGGAAUAACACAAUGAAGGUACCCUGUAAGAAAGGAUCGGCUAACUUCGUG
rnacentral:rRNA from 1 species